AUUGAACGCUGCGGCAUGCCUUACACAUGCAAGUCGAACGGCAGCACGGGAGCAAUCCUGGUGGCGAGUGGCGAACGGGUGAGUAAUACAUCGGAACGUGCCCUGUCGUGGGGGAUAACUAGUCGAAAGAUUAGCUAAUACCGCAUACGACCUGAGGGUGAAAGCGGGGGACCGCAAGGCCUCGCGCGAUAGGAGCGGCCGAUGUCUGAUUAGCUAGUUGGUGGGGUAAAGGCCCACCAAGGCGACGAUCAGUAGCUGGUCUGAGGGGACGAUCAGCCACACUGGGACUGAGACACGGCCCAGACUCCUACGGGAGGCAGCAGUGGGGAAUUUUGACAAUGGGGGCAACCCUGAUCCAGCAAUGCCGCGUGUGUGAAGAAGGCUUCGGGUUGUAAAGCACUUUUGUACCGGAAAGAAAUCCCUUGCUCUAAUACAGCGGGGGGAUGACGGUACCGGAAGAAUAAGCACCGGCUAA
rnacentral:rRNA from 1 species